CACACGGCAGCAUGUCACGCCACAAGCUCAGGUAUUGGACAAGAGCCUUUUCUGCUUAACUUAUAAGAACAUGCUAGUCACUAUUUGUUUAUUUAGCAGACUUUCAUAUUUUGUAUUGUUUGAAAGAUGCUUUUAUGCAAAGCGACUUGUCAAUUUAGUCAAUGACGGCACAGAAGGAAGGGGUAAGGCAUCUUUCUAUAUGGCGCAGACAUAUCGACAACCUUACUACACAACCCUGCUUUUAGGCCCCAUAGUGUCUCUGCCCCUGGACUUGGUCGAAGCUCCUCAGGCUUACUUGAACCUCUGAGAUGUUUGGAACAAGUACAGGGUCUGGGGCAAUGUCGUGGUGGACUGGUGGUUAUGGUGCUCAGAUCUACUUCAACGAUGCGUCACUAAACUGCAGCUGGAGUACCAACGGGCUAAACUGUUUGAAAUUCACACGGCAACGAGUUGCAUGUGGAUGGAUUAAUCAUAUAAUUAGAGGAAUGCAGAAAUAUGAGAAAUUGUAAUUAUAUAAAUAAAUAAUUAUAUUCCUCUAUGCAUGGAGUAUACAAGCGUUAUUUGUGAGAAUAACAGCCUAGUAGAUGGGAAUUAUAUCGUCCGUUUGACAGAAAGUGUGCCUCAUUUAAAACCAAGCUCACUUUACUUUACUGACUAGGAACACGAUAAUACAAUAAAACAAGUAUUUUUGGUAGGCC